rnacentral:tRNA from 1 species
GCCGGGGUGGUGGAAUGGUUUACACGUACGACUCAAAAUCGUAUGGACGAAAAGUCCAUGAGGGUUCGACUCCCUCCCCCGGCA